rnacentral:rRNA from 1 species
CAAUAGCGUAUAUUUAAGUUGUUGCAGUUAAAAAGCUCGUAGUUGGAUUUCGGGUGGGACGCAGCGGUCUCGCAUUGCGUUUGUACUGCUGCAGCCCUCCUUCUUGCCGGGGGCGGCCUCUCGGACUUCACUGUCUGGGGGUCAGAAUCGGCGAUGUUACUUUGAGUAAAUUAGAGUGUUCAAAGCAAGCUUACGCUCUGAAUAUAAUGGCAUGGGAUAACACGACAGGACUCUGGCCUAUCGUGUUGGUCUAUAGGACCAGAGUAAUGAUUAAGAGGGACAGUCGGGGGCAUUCGUAUUCCGUUGUCAGAGGUGAAAUUCUUGGAUUUACGGAAGACGAACAUCUGCGAAAGCAUUUGCCAAGGAUGUUUUCAUUGA